rnacentral:rRNA from 1 species
GGCUCAGAGCGAACGCUGGCGGCGGCUUAACACAUGCAAAGUCGAGCCGGGCGUAGCAAUACGUCAGCGGCAGACGGGUGAAUAACGCGUGGGAACGUACCUUUUGGUUCGGAACAACUUGAGGGAAACUUCAGCUUAAUACCGGAUAAGCCCUUACGGGGAAAGAUUUAUCGCCGAAAGAUCGGCCCGCGUCUGAUUAGGCUAGUUGGUGAGGUAAACGGCUCACCAAGGGCGACGAUCAGUAGCUGGUCUGAGAGGGUGAUCAGGCCACAUUGGGACUGAGACACGGCCCAAACUCCUACGGGAGGCAGCAGUGGGGAAUAUUGGACAAUGGGCGCAAGCCUGAUCCAGCCAUGCCGCGUGAGUGAUGAAGGCCCUAGGGUUGUAAAGCUCUUUUGUGCGGGAAGAUAAUGACUGUACCGGAAGAAUAAGCCCCGGCUAACUUCGUGCCAGCAGCCGCGGUAAUACGAAGGGGGCUAGCGUUGUUCGGAAUCACUGGGCGUAAAGCGCACGUAGGCGGACUUUUAAGUCAGAGGUGAAAGCCUGGAGCUCAACUCCAGAACUGCCUUUGAUACUGGGAGUCUCGAGUAUGGAAGAGGUUGGUGGAACUGCGAGUGUAGAGGUGAAAUUCGUAGAUAUUCGCCAAGAACACCAGUGGCGAAGGCGGCCAACUGGUCCAUUACUGACGCUGAGGUGCCGAAAGCGUGGGGAGCAAACAGGAUUAGAUACCCUGGUAGUGCACGCCGUAAACGAUGAAUGCCAGCCCGUUGGGGAGCUUGCUCUUCAGUGGCGCAGCUAACGCUUUAAGCAUUCCGCCUGGGGAGUACGGUCGCAAGAUUAAAUCUC